CUGAAAAUUUUAAAUGGCCGCAGUAUUCUAACUGUGCAAAGGUAGCAUAAUCAUUAGUCUUUUAAUUGAAGGCUGGAAUGAAUGGUUGGACGAGAUAUUAACUGUUUCAUUUAAAUUUUUUAUAGAAUUUUAUUUUUUAGUCAAAAAGCUAAAAUAAAUUUAAAAGACGAGAAGACCCUAUAAAUCUUUAUAUUUUGUUUAUUUUAAUUAUAAAGAUUAUUUUUAUUAUAAUAAAUUAAAAUAUUUUAUUGGGGUGAUAUUAAAAUUUAAAAAACUUUUAAUUUUAAAAACCAUUGAUUUAUGAAUAAUUGAUCCAUUAAUAGUGAUUAAAAAUUUAAGUUACUUUAGGGAUAACAGCGUAAUUUUUUUGGAGAGUUCAUAUCGAUAAAAAAGAUUGCGACCUCGAUGUUGGAUUAAGAUAUAAUUUUGGGUGUAGCCGUUCAAAUUUUAAGUCUGUUCGACUUUUAAAUUCUU
rnacentral:rRNA from 1 species